rnacentral:rRNA from 1 species
UGCACCUACGGGGGGCAGCAGUGAGGAAUAUUGGUCAAUGGCCGGAAGGCUGAACCAGCCAAGCCGCGUGAAGGACGAAGGUGCCAAGCAUUGUAAACUUCUUUUGUCAAGGGACAAAAUCAGGCUCGAGAGCCUGACCGAGGGUACUUGAAGAAAAAGCAUCGGCUACCUCCGUGCCAGCAGCCGCGGAUAUACGGAGGAUGCGAGCGUUACCCGGAUUUAUUGGGUUUA